rnacentral:rRNA from 1 species
UACGUAGGGUGCGAGCGUUGCCCGGAUUUAUUGGGCGUAAAGGGCGCGUAGGCGGCCACGCACGUCCGUUGUGAAAUCGCCCGGCUCAACUGGGCGGGGUCAGCGGAUACGGUGUGGCUCGAGCAAGCUAGGGGGCAAUGGAAUUCCCGGUGUAGUGGUGGAAUGCGUAGAUAUCGGGAGGAACACCAGUGGCGAAGGCGGUUGCCUGGAGCUUUGCUGACGCUGAGGCACGAAAGCGUGGGGAGCAAACAGG